rnacentral:lncRNA from 1 species
AUGAAGGAUUGAGAUUGUCUCAAGACUUGGAAUAGUAUUCCUGCUGUUGCCUGCCAUUUUGGGAGGGGAGGCUGUCCUUCUCUUUACUGAUCAUGUCGAAAACCAGUGUUUAGAUGGAUUGUACAGGUCACUUACAUGAUCUUUCUUCCAAAUCUACUGUCUGGAGCAGAUAAUUCCAUUUGGAUUCACUUAUUUAUUUGCCUGCGCUACACAACAAUCAUUGUGCAACUGAAAUUUUCAGAUGCUAUUGCUGCUGCAAGGGAUGAGUACAAAACAGUGUCAAGUAUCUUCUGACCUUUUUUGUGUGCUUCCAAACUGUUCAAUCUACUGAAGAACAUGACUCUCACAGUCUCAUAAAUAAUCUGAGUCAUGGUGAAUGCAC